AGAACCCCUCCAGGCCUCUCUUCUCUGCUCCUCUCAGGACAUUUUCACAAACACUUUGAUUGAUAUCCAAGGCUUUAAUUUUUGAAACGUUUCUUUCUGCAACAUGACUAGACAGCAACAGCGAUACCGCGGUGUCCGUCAAAGGCAUUGGGGCUCUUGGGUGUCUGAAAUCCGCCAUCCUCUGCUGUAAUUUCACUUUCUUAUGAUUUGCUUCUGUGGGGUUCUUGCACUUAGCUGCCGCAAGAACGUUUCCUUGCCACAUAUGUGGCAAGAUUAAGAAACGUUUCUUUAUUUUGUUCGCUAGUAGAAUCACUAGCACCCUUUUAAAGCCCUUUUCUCGGCAGCAACACGGAUGCUUUGAUACAAUACACUCAGACGCACACAAAUACACUAAAAGAAAAAGUUUUAGUGCAAAAAUUAUGUGUUUCUUUUACUAAAAGAAACGUUUCUUGUUUUCUUGGGACUACAGGAAGACUAGAAUAUGGCUAGGCACAUUCGAAACGGCGGAGGACGCGGCGAGAGCCUACGACGAGGCAGCUAGACUAAUGUGCGGUCCAAAAGCACGCACAAAUUUUCCAUACAACCCAAAUGAGCCACAAUCAUCUUCUUCAAAGCUUAUCUCAGCAACUCUGGCAGCUAAGUUACAUAAAUGUCACAUGACAUCUCUACAAGUCACCAAGAAAAAUGUCACUAAACAAACACAUGAACAACCACAAUGUAACCCAUUUGCCACUAGCAAUGGCAUUGCCGGAAAAAGUGUAGAAUCCGGCUCUACUUGGCCGGAGGGGAAAUGGGUUGGUGAGGAAAGUGAAGUUGGGAAUAGCCAGCAGCAAGAUAAGACACUAGAAGAUCAUCACAUAGCGCAAAUGAUAGAGGAAUUACUUGAUUAUGGGUCCAUGGAGUUUUGUUCUGUUUCUUCUACAUAGAUUAGUACUCUUAAUUAGAAAGAUUUAAAAUUGUAGCAACCUUCAUCUAUUUGGUAAUGCAACUUAUAAUUAUAAUUACUUUUCGUUUCAAUUUUUAUGCUUAAUGUGAAAUUGGAAUUUUGGAUUCAACACAAAGUAGUGUGAAAGGAUG
rnacentral:misc_RNA from 1 species